rnacentral:rRNA from 1 species
GACGAACGCUGGCGGCGUGCCUAAUACAUGCAAGUCGAACGCACUCUCGUUUAGAUUGAAGGAGUUUGCUCCUGAUUGAUAAACAUUUGAGUGAGUGGCGGACGGGUGAGUAACACGUGGGUAACCUGCCCUAAAGUGGGGGAUAACAUUUGGAAACAGAUGCUAAUACCGCAUAAAACCUAACACCGCAUGGUGUAGGGUUGAAAGAUGGUUUCGGCUAUCACUUUAGGAUGGACCCGCGGUGCAUUAGUUAGUUGGUGAGGUAAAGGCUCACCAAGACCGUGAUGCAUAGCCGACCUGAGAGGGUAAUCGGCCACACUGGGACUGAGACACGGCCCAGACUCCUACGGGAGGCAGCAGUAGGGAAUCUUCCACAAUGGACGAAAGUCUGAUGGGGCAACGCCGCGUGAGUGAAGAAGGUUUUCGGAUCGUAAAACUCUGUUGUUGGAGAAGAAUGUAUCUGAUAGUAACUGAUCAGGUAGUGACGGUAUCCAACCAGAAAGCCACGGCUAACUACGUG